AUAUGAAGGAUUUGGGAACCCUGGAAGUCGUUCCUGGGCAGUGAGUUCUUUGUUCAAGACGCCAAGAACCUGGACACCUUCAACUGGUAACAUAUUUUGGUGAACCAGCCAGAGUCCACUGGCUAAGGGCAGAGAAACCCGCCUAGCCUCCAGCUCCUAUCAUUAAAGCUCAUGGAACAGGAAACAUGGGAAAGCAUGGCCUUAUCAAGUUAUAAGGAUGCUAGAAGUCAAGGCCUUCAUCCUGGGACAAAAGGAAAGCUCACAGUGGACCAUUGCCUCUGGUGGGAAAACUUGCAAGUGGCACCAGUGCCCACCUAAGGUCAGAGACGUCUGACACUCUAAGAUUGGACCCCAAAGGGGGACGCUCCGGGAGAUCCUCCAGUCCUCAACCUCUCCAAAGCGGAUGCCCUUGGCAGAAGGGCUGAGGCCCAGUACUAGGCCCUCUUACGAAUUUUCUCUCACAGUUACAAUACUGUUUGGCCCCAAUCUUAUUUGGAAUCUGAAGUUUGCUGUUGAAUGGGAAAGUGGGAUGGCGUUGCAUGUGGCCAGGCUUUUGUGCUGCUGUUCUAAGCAGGGGGCCUGGUUAACAUGUGAUGCUCUCCUUUGGUGCUGUUUGGGCCCAGUAUUCUUUGGAGUCUGGAGAGGUUUGGCUUUAAAAAUCAAACUGCCAGGGAAACUUCUGUACCUGAAAUUUUGGUUCAGAGCCUUCGUUGGAUUACCUAUUGGGGCAAAGUGAAACCAGUGAGCUUGUAUUGCUAUCUCAUGGCUAGGAUUCCAAGCCAUUAGAUCUUCAUUCAUGUGUGUGUACAUGUCUAGAUAUCUUUAUUUGUAUGUAAUUUAUUGUUAUAUGUUGUGUCUAUCAGAUUGGCUGAUAAGUAAAAGAGCGCUAAUAAAUUAAGCAAAUAAG